rnacentral:lncRNA from 1 species
UAAAAUUGGUAAGUGGAAGAAGGAAGCUGUAAAUAUCAAAGAAAGCAUAGUGACUAAAAAAUUCAUGCAUGUUAUCUCCUUUUUUUCCCCUACUUUCCUUAUUGUUUUGUAUAAGAAGCAUUAGUGAAAGUGAAAAUGGCAACUUAGUUUUUAGAACAUAGCCAGAUGGGAUUGCAAUGGAACAAGAAGAUAACUUAGUAUGAAUCUAUGAAGAAUAGUAAAAAUAAGAGAACUUCUCAUCUUCCAUUUUGGAACAGAAAAGAACAUUUGCAUUUAGACAAAAUAUAGUUGUAGCAUAUUAAGCAGAAGCGAACCCCCAUUACUAUUUUAUGGUAUAAUGAUUAAUUUCAUAUAAAAAUAUGAAGUGGAUACCUCAAAGCAAAAACACUUCCUUAUAUCGAAUGUAUUAUUUGAAGAAUGUAGAAGCAGGAGUUCCCGUCGUGGCGCAGUGGUUAACAAAUCCGACUAGGAACCAUGAGAUUGCGGGUUCGAUCCCUGCCCUUGCUCAGUGGGUUAAGGAUCUGGCGUUGCCGUGAGCUGUGGUGUAGGUUGCAGACGCGGCUCGGAUCCCGCGUUGCUGUGGCUCUGGCGUAGGCCGGUGGCUAUGGCUACGAUUCGACCCCUAGCCUGGGAACCUCCAUAUGCCACGGGAGUGGCCCAAGAAAUAGCAAAAAGACAAAAAAAAAAAAAAAGAAUGUAGAAGGAAAGUUUCUUUCCAUACUUCUGCUCUCUUUUAGACAAACUCCUGUAGACACUACUGUUUCCUCUGCUUAGCGGUCACUUGGCCUUCUUCAGUAGCAAAACCAUGGUGUUUAGAGUCAAGGGGGGCAUCACAUGAUCAUAAUGAAGCAAAACUCAGGUGAAGCAACUAUAUGAGAAUCAUGGUUCCAAAAUAUGGAGACUUUUGUUCUUUUAUGAAAAACUGGAGCUAUUAGAUCAGCCCUUGGGUACUUUUAGAUUUCUUACAGGAGAUAAUAAAACCCCCAUUAUUUACCCCAUUUUAUCUUAAGUUAGGUAGUCUAACUUGUACAGGAAAAAAAAUUUUGACUCAAAUUGUUUUCCACAUUUAAGGACACGUAUGCUCUUCUAAUUUAUUACCACCUUAUCAGUGAUUACCCUGAUGACUCAGUAUAAAUAUCGAAACCAUCCUAGCACUUUCCACAGCUUUAAAACACACAAAAAGCCGGAAAAAUAUUUUUAAAAUCAAAAUUUUAACUACCCAGGUCUCCUCUGCCAAAAUUGUCAAUACUUCUUACUUAUAAAAGGAAAAAAACAUAGCUCCACAGUGUAGUGACCUAAUGAAAAGCCUCUUAACCUAGUGAUCAAAUAUUGGAAUAAGUGGACAUCACAGGCUUUCUGGGAAGGGCAUCCCAUUACUCUUUUAGUAAUCCUUACAAAUCAUGAUCUACAUUUAAUCAUACAGAGCAUCAAACAUACACAAAUUGAGUUACAAAAUAACUGCGUUGUAUCUCUCAGAAAUAUCAAGGUCACAAUAGAGACUGAGAAAAAGGAGCCCAAGAGAUAUGGCAACUAAUUGCAGAUGAUCCAGAAUGGAUCUUGGACUGGGAAAGGAAUAAAUACAGAAAAUUAUUAGAACAAUUGGCAUAAUUUGAAUAUGUAUAAUAGAUUAGAUGAUUAUCUAUAGCUGUGUCACAAUAAAAGCAAGUACUAACAGUGUUUGUGAGGUAGUGGAGGAACUAGAAUCUUCAUACACAGAUGUAUAAAUCCUCAUGCAUUGCUAGUAGCAAUGUGCAAUAGUGCAUCUGCUUUAGAAAACAGUUGAGUUCUUCCUUAAAGGGUUAAUUAAUCAUAGCGUUAGCAUAUGAUUCAGCAUUUCCAUUUAGGUCUAUACCCAAGAAAAUUAAAAAUGCUGUCUCUGUUUUUUAUGAAAUUCACAGAAAGAUAUUAAUGUAGAGAGGUACAAUGUCUCCAAUUUACCACUGAAUGAUUAAAAGUAAAAUUUCUUGAAAUUAUAUAAAAAUAAAAGUUAGAAAACCACAUCCACAAAGGGAAGCCUUAUCACAAGCACCACUUGGGCAGCUUUCUUUCUUAAUGUCUUGAUCUAAUGCGUAUGUUCUGUCUCCCCCCCAUAAUAUCUUAGACAUACUACUAUCUUAGUAUCACUCAUAUUGAAUGAUAAUCAGUGAUUUGCAUCUUUUCCUAGGAUAAUCAAAACUAUUCGAAGACCAAAACUGUGUCAUACUUAAUUUUGAAGCUGAGAUUAUAGCACAGAGCAUGUUAUAAUUAGGGGCAUUAUAAACAGUUAUUGAGCAAGCAUAUAGAGAUGUGUAAGACUAAAGAAAUACGCACUGCACAUGGAGAAGGAAAAUUGGUUACUAUUAAUGAAAGGGUUUGUAAAUCUGCGAUCUUAUGCAUUUUUUAUAAUAAUUCAUUUGACUGCGAUUUAAGGUGACACUUUGGUUAAUUUUAGAAAACUGAAUAGUGUAAGCUGAAACACAUUUAAUAUUCAGAUUUUUACAACCACUAAUUCACACACCAGUGACCCUUUGAAAGACUUGAAAACAGAGUAAAUAUGAUAAAAAUGAAACAAGACAAAAAGAAUGGUACAUAAAUCCUAGGAAAACAUAUCACUUAAAUGCCAUUGCUCCUGUUUCAGUGUACUACUUGGUAGGAAGAGAGAAAAAUCCCUUUAAAUUUCUGUCUCCACAAAAGUUUUUAUCUCAUCCUAUCUUUAUCCUUUUCCCUCUUGUCCAGCCAUGAGCACAUUUACAUAAUUUUCUUGUCCACAACUAAUCUCUACCACCUCUGUCUUUUAGGAGGAAUAUAGCACUGCACUUAAAUCUUAGUGCUGUUUUUUUUCCUUUUAAUGUUUAUUUUAUUUUAUUUUUUAUAUUUUACUUAUCUGACUACUAGAAAGAAUAUGUUUGAAGGAAGUUCUUGUUCUCUAUUCCUGAUUUUCCCUUCUGCAUAGAAGACUCUCCUUCCACCCCUUUGCUUACUUUACCCCAGAUGGAGGCACUUGACUUGAGGAAUAAAGUAGGCAUUUUCAGGUCCACUGCUGUCUUCCCACAAGUACACAGACUCUCUUCUCCACCAGUGGCUGCCUUUCGGCCAUCAGUCUAGUCCAGUCUGCUGGGCCCUGGUGGGUAAUUCAACAUCAGUGAUUCAUUCAGCAGGUCCAAGUGACUGUUAAUCUAAUCAAGCACCUCCCAUUUGGCCUCUAUCCAUAAAAGAGCUGAUUAGUGAGUUUCACCUGCCACUCCUUUAUUUUAUUUUCUAAUUGUUUUUCAGAACUCUGAUGUGGAAGGGGGGUGUUAUUUCUUGGGUGCCCCUUGGAGUCCCACACAGUAUUAUAUGACUGAUUUUGUAAUUUUUUUAACUCUAACGAAGUUCAAUAAGAGAACCAUCCUAAAAGGUGUUCUACAGCUACCCUAAACACCAUGUUCUGAGUUCUUUGUUGAGAAAGAACCCUUUUACAGAAAAGAUAGGUAAACAGAAGAAUGUCAGUGUGAAGGCCCUCCUCCCCUCUUUUAUCCUAGUCUGAUGCAAAUCAGUGCAGCUUCCCCUUAAAAUUAACUUAACAUUGUCAGACAUUAUUCUUAGUGAGAUUUAUAUGCUGAAAGAUUUUCAGAUUUAUAUGCUGAAAAUUUUUCUUUAUCUCGAUGCAAAUGAGAUGGGAAUCCAUGUUGAGAAGAUGUGCUGCCAGGUAUUCUUCAGGAUUCCUAAUACUAUAUCAUCUCUGCAACAGAGUUUCCAUAGUAUAUGCCCAGAAGUUUUCAUAUAGCUCACAUGAAAAUGUUGGGGUAUUGGGAAAUAUUGGUUUGCAUGAGGUUAAUCAUACUUAAUCUUUUACAAACUAUUAUGGUAUAAAAUUCACUGUGAGUCUCUGAGAAGUGAAUGUGGUUCUCACUAGUCCUCUUCACUUUGGGAGUCUUCAUCUUAAUAGCUUUUCUCACCAGGAGUAAAGACAGAUGCUGGAUGAAGGGCUGUUUUUGGUAGAAACACAUGGCAGAUAAAUAAUAUUUGCUGGAAUUACAUCAGACUCAGGUGCGAUGAGUCAGGAACACUAUUUUAUCAGUUUUCCCAGGGAUGGUCAGACCCUGGAGGAUUCAUUAAUGAUAAAUCAGUUUACAGGAAACGGAUUUAUAAACGAGAAUGCCAAUUUAUUCACUUAAAUGGAACAACACACUGCACUCUGUAACAGAAUCCUUGCAUCAGCUGGCAAGUACAUGCUCCUUCUCUGUAAAAGUCUUGGGAAAUCAAAGUAAGUUCAGAUGGUUUCUGUGGUGAGUCAAGAGGUGUAACAAAAGGAAUUGGCUGAUAUUUGGGGAAUGUUGCGUUCAAUAGUAGCAGACUUAUCCCUCCUUCUGCUUUUAGGUUAAUACCUGCCAUGAAGUUAAGAACAUCACUAAACCAGCUAUGUUCUGAGUCAUUGCUGAUUAAGCAUUGACAGAUUUUAGUAUUUACUUUUAAAAAAGAACCAAACUAAACAAUAUUCCUGAUCACUUAACAAAAUAUUCUGUUAUAACAUUUCUUUGUGAUGGAUAUUUCACACAAUUAAUUACUUUCUAGCUUAUCUUUCAUUACUUAUAUUUCAUAUUAGUGUGUCUCCAUUGGGUUUUGGGAAAGGUCCAUAUGCUCCUUGCUCAAUUUUAGGAGACUUAUUUAUCUUAUCAUCAAGACAUGUAAAAUAGUCUCUUAGGGAGGGUUACUUCUACAAAUGACUAAUCUCAUUUGUUUUGUGUUGAAUGAUGUCAGCUUCAAUUCAUGCAGUGGCAUUUAAUGACCAUAUUCAUAUAUUUUAGGGUAAUUCCUAUUUAAAGGCAUAACAUCAAUGUGCUGUCUACAUAACUAAAACACUCUGUUGCUGCUUGGUGUGGAGAUUUUACGCAAACAAUCAUACUUUUUUUUCUUAAAACACACACACACACACACACACACACCUGAAAGGAACACAACUUCAAACACUGGCCUUAUUCUAAAAUAUCAUAUUUAAUGAUUCAGUAUAGGACAUGUUUAUAAGGUCUUUGUCUUAUGCCAGCUUUUGCAGUUGGCUUGAGGACAUAAAAGAUAAACAGAAGUCAGAAUGCAAUUCUGAACAUACAUUGAAUGUAUUAAAUAUUAAUUGGAAAAUCCUCUUAUAUUGAGCAAACAACCAUCCAUCUAUUGCUCAUUUAUUUCAGAGGGUACCAGAAAUGAGUUAGUUUUCCUUGAAAAAUUCUCCCUCAAUGCUGAUUAUUCAUGUCUUACCAUUUAAAUUUUAUCAUUUUACAAUAACAACUUUGUGCCAUUUUUUGUAACACACAGAUAUUCAGAAUUAUAGGGAAUCUUGAAUGCAAAUCUCCCUCAGAGAAUUCACCAUGCUGUCAGCAUUGUGAAAGCUGAAAAAAAAAAGAGACUAGGUAAGAAACCUAACUCAGUAGCACAUUGGCUGGACAAGCAUUAAAACUGAAAGUUGUAAGACUUAAGAGUCUACCUGGAUUCUAGUUCUCUGCUAUAUUAUCUUGGAAAAGCCCUUUAUCCUGUAUGGAUCUCAUUUUACUUAUCUCAUUAAGAUGGUUAUAAACUCAGAUGGCUACAAAUGUUAGGCAGAUAACCUAAUGAUUAAACUGGGCUGAGGUUGAGACUCAAAAAUUAUAAGAGGUUGUGGCAUUAAAAAAGCAAAGAGAAACCUAGAUGCCUUACAAGUUUGUAGCUAGUUGACUUAGUUGCAGUUAUUCAUUUGGGAUUUUACUGAGCAACAUUUUCUAAACUCUUGAAAGUAUAUUGGUGUGUUAAAUAUCACUUCCAAGGAGAAUGACUGGUCCUCUACAUGCUUUAGUAUUUUGUGCAGUAACACAAGGCAACAUUAGGAUGGAGCUCAGAAAGGACUAAAGAAUGAAAAAACAAACAAAACAAUCAAACAAACAAAACAGGUACUUAGAUCUCAGGUGGUUUUGUAGAUCAGAAAGUAUUUUGCCUUACUUUUUAGAAAGGUAAACUGGAGUUAAUAUGGCUAAUUUAGGUCUCUUAGAUUGUUAACAGCCAAGCAAAGACUAAUACCCCAGACUCCUGCUGGGUCUCUUUUUCUAACACUGCCAUUUUUUGUAACACACAGAUAUUCAGAAUUAUAGGGAAUCUUAAUAACAGUCUAGGUCAACCCCUUCAUUUUUCUAGAUGAGGAAACCUACACUCAAGGGAUUGGGGUUAUCAAUGACACAGUCAGCAACAGAGCUCCAGCUACAACCCAAUUCUCCUAACAAACAAGCGGUAUUCAUUUUUCCAUGUAUUCCGCAAUUCUUUUCCUUUUUGUAAAAAUUGAUGCAGAAGAAAGCCAUAGCCAUGAUGUCUAAAAUGUCUGCACAACUCCUGUUUUAAAUAUUGUGCAAAUAGUGAUAUAAGUGACUAAGAAGUGAUCUUUAGAAGAGACCCUGCUUGUGCUGUUACAUGAUUUUCAUUGCAUAGUAAACCUGUCUAUUUCUCUAGUUCAAUAUAUGAGCAUGUUAUAUCUGGCACAUACUCUGCUUAUUUUUUUUUUGGUUGAAUAUUCAACAAAAAUUCUAAGUGUACUGGUUUUUAUAGGCAACAAUAAUCCUGGUAUCAUAUAUAAAUCAUUGCUAAGCCAGGCUUCUUCCUCUGAUGACUUCACUUUUUUUUUUUUCUUUUUUAUGGCUGCACCUGCAGCACACAGAAGUUCCCAGGCUAGAGGCUGAAUCAGAGCUGUAGCUGGAACCUGUGCCACAGCCAGGGCAACACUGGAUCCCAGCUGCCUCUGUAAUGUAGGCAGCAACUUGCAGCAACACUGGAUCUUUAACCCACUGAGUGAGGCCAGGGAUCAAACCCACAUCCUCACAGAGACAACAUUGGGUCCUUAACCCAGUGAGCCGCAAUGGGAGCUCCCAUGAUUAUAUACUCUUGAGGAAGGCACAAUUUGAUCAUUGUAAAUUGUGCUAAAAUCUUCUCAUGAAAUCUUGAAUGGAAGUGUAUAAGUCAGACUGGCAAGCUUUGUCAUCAUGAAAGGCUUUUGUUACCAUGGAGAGAAUUAUCAAUAUUCACAUUAUUUAGCAGAGGACAUUUAAGAGAACACCGAUAUAUAUAUAUAUAUAUAUUUUUUUUUUUCACAAAGAAGGAAUCAGUGAGAAUAUAAUAGAAAAGGACAAUGCUGUGCUACCAGUGAGUACUUCAUAAGGGUAAUAUGGAGUCCUGGAAGGUCAUCCACCUUCACCCUAAACCAGCUUUGCAGUCAAACUCCUGAGACUUUCAAUACAUUCACUUUACCCCAAGUUCCUUAGAACUUAUCUCAAAAUGUAAUAUUUGCCUUCACUUGUGUGUUUCCAGGCUUGAUACAGGGGUUAAAUUGUUAAUGCUUUCCCUUCACUUCCUUAAAUUUUUUUUAAUCAAACUUUGCUUUUUCUCUCCCUGGGGAACAACAAAUGGACAGCUUUCCUCUCUUGUUCUCCUCCUUCCAUUACCAUCACAGCAGAAUGCAUCUGAGACUGUAAUAAUUCAGUGAUGAAAUACAAAAUGUCGCAAUGCCAUCUCUCUUAAAGUGAACUGAGAUUUUGUUAUGCCAUUUUAGGUGCACUAAUAGCAACUCAAGCCCCAUGGAGUAUCCUAAUGUGAAUUUAAUGAGCUGAUAGCAUAUAAAUGACAGUACUGUGAGGGUGAAGGUGACAUAACCUUUUUCUUUCUAUUUGAUGUUUGUCUUUGAAAAACUACAGAUCUGUUCAAAAUGUACAGCGUUAUUACUAAGUAGCGCAUCACUCACCAAAGGAGCUACUAUUGUUUUAGCAUUUAAAAAUAGUUUUCUCUGUUACUGGAAUAAGUAGCAAGAGCAAUUUUUUUUUUAUCAUUAGGCUAAUAAAAAUCUGAAUAGUCUUUCUCAGAAUAAACACAAAUUAUGUACUGCUCUGGUGUCUAUUUUGCCAUAGGCUGAUUAUUUCCAGUGACAGAUAUUUACUUAUAGGCCCCAUAUCUUUGAAUGUCAUAGUCAGUGAUAAAACAUCACUACAAAUUGGGUGUUAAAAAUAGCAAAACUAUCCAUCCUUAUUUGUGGUAUUAUUUGAGAGUGCAAUUUAGAUGCUUUAUAAAGAUGGUCUUUAUAGAAGCUUUGUCAGUUACAAUCAAUUCCACAGUUUAAAUUCAGUCUUUCAGGGUGGUCCACUGUGAAAAUUCAGGUAACCAAAUUAAAGACUGUAGUUU